rnacentral:rRNA from 1 species
CUGGCGACCGGCGCACGGGUGAGUAACGCGUAUCCAACCUGCCUUACACCCUUGGACAGCCUUCUGAAAGGGAGAUUAAUACAAGAUGUUAUCAUGAGUAAGCAUUUUCACAUGAUUAAAGGUUUACCGGUGUAAGAUGGGGAUGCGUUCCAUUAGAUAGUAGGCGGGGUAACGGCCCACCUAGUCUUCGAUGGAUAGGGGUUCUGAGAGGAAGGUCCCCCACAUUGGAACUGAGACACGGUCCAA